rnacentral:misc_RNA from 1 species
CUUUGAUAUGAAAUAUAUAUUCCCAAUGCGCCUUAGAGCCGUACUGGAGUUGAUGAGAAGUCUUAAAGAGGACUUCACUCCUGGGUCAGAAUACAAGGAGACUACGCUUUGCAAAGGCUUGAGGCUAAUGGGAUUGCUGCUUCCUGGAAUUGCUUCACACAACCCUGUAAAUUAUGUUAACUGCGUCAGACUUGGAAGGGAGAAGGCUGCUCGAUUGACCUCAAUUACCCUUUCAUGAGAUUAUCUAUGAGGCUAUAUAAUAUAUAAUGUGAACUUCUGAGAGCUUCAGGGUUUAUAAUUAGGUCCCAGCUGCUGGAUGUAGCCCUUUGUUGUGACUCUUGAGUUU